rnacentral:rRNA from 1 species
CAGUAGCCGCGGUAAUACAGAGGGUGCGAGCGUUAAUCGGAAUUACUGGGCGUAAAGCGCGCGUAGACGGUUUUGUAAGUCAGAUGUGAAAUCCCUGGGCUCAACCUGGGAACUGCAUUUGAUACUGCAUGGCUAGAGUAUCAAAGAGGGAAGUGGAAUUUCCGGUGUAGCGGUGAAAUGCGUAGAUAUCGGAAGGAACACCAGUGGCGAAAGCGACUUCCUGGUCGAAUACUGACGUUCAUGUGCGAAAGCGUGGGGAGCAAACUGGAUUAGAUACCCCCGUAGUCCCUGUCUCUUAUAC